rnacentral:piRNA from 1 species
GUACUUUAUGCAAAUAAUUGGGCCAAGUA